CACCGCGGUUAUACGAGAGGCCCAAGCUGAUAGUCACCGGCGUAAAGAGUGGUUAAGAUUAAUUGAAUACUAAAGCCGAAAGCCCUCACAGCUGUUAUACGCACUCGAGGGUAAGAAGCCCAACUACGAAAGUGGCUUUACAACAUCUGAACCCACGAAAGCUAGGGCA
rnacentral:rRNA from 1 species